AAGAAGUUACACAGUAGGGGCCGCUAACCUCUUAUUUAGCAAGUUAUUUUGUUAGUAUCUUU
rnacentral:tRNA from 1 species